ACAAACUCGUUACUUUGGGUUUAACGCAUUUGGGGGAAGUUAAUAUUUCACGUCACUGCAGGCCUUCAAACAAUGAGAUUUGAGCCUAAACAGUGACACAUGAAAGGCAGUCGCGUUUUAAUCAGUAGAGAUGAAAGAGCAAACCAUGUACCGUAGUUUUGAUUUAUUUAUUUUUAGCACAACACCAGAACAACCCCACGUGCCCAUAAUUUGCGGUACUUCAGAAAAAAAGGAGUGAACAUAAAAGGGAGUAAAAUGUUGUGGCAGGAAGAGAAAAGAAUGAGAGCUAACUUCACUCAGAGAUAUAGAAAGAAAGAGAAAGAAACCAGGCUGUAUUUAAAGACGUCUUGAAAACAAGUUUUAACAAAGUCCUGGAGAAGUGCCCAAUGCUGGAGGACCUCCUGCUUUACCCCUGGCUCAGAUAAACUCCUCUCUGACCAAACACACACGCAUACUGAAUUCACAUCUUGCCAUACAAAUGUGAUACAGUAACCAACUUUCUUUCUUUCAGAAAAAAAAGAAAAUUGGGAGAUUCAAAAAUUUCCUCACAGUAAUGUUUGCAUCAGUCUAUCAGAUG